GGGUUGUGAGGUUAAGCGACUAAGCGUACACGGUGGAUGCCCUGGCAGUCAGAGGCGAUGAAGGACGUGCUAAUCUGCGAUAAGCGUCGGUGAGGUGAUAUGAACCGUUAUAACCGGCGAUUUCCGAAUGGGGAAACCCAGUGUGAUUCGUCACACUAUCAUUAACUGAAUCCAUAGGUUAAUGAGGCGAACCGGGGGAACUGAAACAUCUAAGUACCCCGAGGAAAAGAAAUCAACCGAGAUUCCCCCAGUAGCGGCGAGCGAACGGGGAGCAGCCCAGAGCCUGAAUCAGUGUGUGUGUUAGUGGAAGCGUCUGGAAAGGCGCGCGAUACAGGGUGACAGCCCCGUACACAAAAAUGCACAUACUGUGAGCUCGAUGAGUAGGGCGGGACACGUGGUAUCCUGUCUGAAUAUGGGGGGACCAUCCUCCAAGGCUAAAUACUCCUGACUGACCGAUAGUGAACCAGUACCGUGAGGGAAAGGCGAAAAGAACCCCGGCGAGGGGAGUGAAAAAGAACCUGAAACCGUGUACGUACAAGCAGUGGGAGCCUCUUAAUGGGGUGACUGCGUACCUUUUGUAUAAUGGGUCAGCGACUUAUAUUCUGUAGCAAGGUUAACCGAAUAGGGGAGCCGAAGGGAAACCGAGUCUUAACUGGGCGUUAAGUUGCAGGGUAUAGACCCGAAACCCGGUGAUCUAGCCAUGGGCAGGUUGAAGGUUGGGUAACACUAACUGGAGGACCGAACCGACUAAUGUUGAAAAAUUAGCGGAUGACUUGUGGCUGGGGGUGAAAGGCCAAUCAAACCGGGAGAUAGCUGGUUCUCCCCGAAAGCUAUUUAGGUAGCGCCUCGUGAAUUCAUCUCCGGGGGUAGAGCACUGUUUCGGCAAGGGGGUCAUCCCGACUUACCAACCCGAUGCAAACUGCGAAUACCGGAGAAUGUUAUCACGGGAGACACACGGCGGGUGCUAACGUCCGUCGUGAAGAGGGAAACAACCCAGACCGCCAGCUAAGGUCCCAAAGUCAUGGUUAAGUGGGAAACGAUGUGGGAAGGCCCAGACAGCCAGGAUGUUGGCUUAGAAGCAGCCAUCAUUUAAAGAAAGCGUAAUAGCUCACUGGUCGAGUCGGCCUGCGCGGAAGAUGUAACGGGGCUAAACCAUGCACCGAAGCUGCGGCAGCGACACUAUGUGUUGUUGGGUAGGGGAGCGUUCUGUAAGCCUGUGAAGGUGUACUGUGAGGUAUGCUGGAGGUAUCAGAAGUGCGAAUGCUGACAUAAGUAACGAUAAAGCGGGUGAAAAGCCCGCUCGCCGGAAGACCAAGGGUUCCUGUCCAACGUUAAUCGGGGCAGGGUGAGUCGACCCCUAAGGCGAGGCCGAAAGGCGUAGUCGAUGGGAAACAGGUUAAUAUUCCUGUACUUGGUGUUACUGCGAAGGGGGGACGGAGAAGGCUAUGUUGGCCGGGCGACGGUUGUCCCGGUUUAAGCGUGUAGGCUGGUUUUCCAGGCAAAUCCGGAAAAUCAAGGCUGAGGCGUGAUGACGAGGCACUACGGUGCUGAAGCAACAAAUGCCCUGCUUCCAGGAAAAGCCUCUAAGCAUCAGGUAACAUCAAAUCGUACCCCAAACCGACACAGGUGGUCAGGUAGAGAAUACCAAGGCGCUUGAGAGAACUCGGGUGAAGGAACUAGGCAAAAUGGUGCCGUAACUUCGGGAGAAGGCACGCUGAUAUGUAGGUGAAGUCCCUCGCGGAUGGAGCUGAAAUCAGUCGAAGAUACCAGCUGGCUGCAACUGUUUAUUAAAAACACAGCACUGUGCAAACACGAAAGUGGACGUAUACGGUGUGACGCCUGCCCGGUGCCGGAAGGUUAAUUGAUGGGGUUAGCGGUAACGCGAAGCUCUUGAUCGAAGCCCCGGUAAACGGCGGCCGUAACUAUAACGGUCCUAAGGUAGCGAAAUUCCUUGUCGGGUAAGUUCCGACCUGCACGAAUGGCGUAAUGAUGGCCAGGCUGUCUCCACCCGAGACUCAGUGAAAUUGAACUCGCUGUGAAGAUGCAGUGUACCCGCGGCAAGACGGAAAGACCCCGUGAACCUUUACUAUAGCUUGACACUGAACAUUGAGCCUUGAUGUGUAGGAUAGGUGGGAGGCUUUGAAGUGUGGACGCCAGUCUGCAUGGAGCCGGCCUUGAAAUACCACCCUUUAAUGUUUGAUGUUCUAACGUUGGCCCCUGAUCGGGGUUGCGGACAGUGUCUGGUGGGUAGUUUGACUGGGGCGGUCUCCUCCUAAAGAGUAACGGAGGAGCACGAAGGUUGGCUAAUCCUGGUCGGACAUCAGGAGGUUAGUGCAAUGGCAUAAGCCAGCUUGACUGCGAGCGUGACGGCGCGAGCAGGUGCGAAAGCAGGUCAUAGUGAUCCGGUGGUUCUGAAUGGAAGGGCCAUCGCUCAACGGAUAAAAGGUACUCCGGGGAUAACAGGCUGAUACCGCCCAAGAGUUCAUAUCGACGGCGGUGUUUGGCACCUCGAUGUCGGCUCAUCACAUCCUGGGGCUGAAGUAGGUCCCAAGGGUAUGGCUGUUCGCCAUUUAAAGUGGUACGCGAGCUGGGUUUAGAACGUCGUGAGACAGUUCGGUCCCUAUCUGCCGUGGGCGCUGGAGAACUGAGGGGGGCUGCUCCUAGUACGAGAGGACCGGAGUGGACGCAUCACUGGUGUUCGGGUUGUCAUGCCAAUGGCACUGCCCGGUAGCUAAAUGCGGAAGAGAUAAGUGCUGAAAGCAUCUAAGCACGAAACUUGCCCCGAGAUGAGUUCUCCCUGACUCCUUGAGAGUCCUGAAGGAACGUUGAAGACGACGACGUUGAUAGGCCGGGUGUGUAAGCGCAGCGAUGCGUUGAGCUAACCGGUACUAAUGAACCGUGAGGCUUAACCUUACAACGCCGAAG
rnacentral:rRNA from 1 species